rnacentral:rRNA from 1 species
CCUACGGUGGGCAGCAGUGAGGAAUAUUGGUCAAUGGCCGGAAGGCUGAACCAGCCAUGCCGCGUGAAGGUCAGUGCCCUAUGGGCGUUAAACUUCUUUUGUGCGGGAGCAAUAAUGGUCACGUGUGGCCAGACGAGAGUACCGUACGCAUAAGCAUUCGCUAACUCCGUGCCAGCAGCCGCGGUAAUACGGGGGAUGCAAGCGGUAUCCGGAAUUAGUGGGUUUAAAGGGUGCGUAGGCUGGGAGGUAAGUCAGCGGUGAAAUGCCCCCGCUCAACGGGGUGAAGUGCCAUUGAUACUGCCUGGCUGGAAUGCGGAUGCCGUGGGAGGAAGGUGUGGUGUAGCGGUGAAAUGCAUAGAUAUCACACAGAACACCGAUUGCGAAGGCAUCUCACGAAUCCGCGAUUGACGCUGAUGCACGAAAGCGUGGGUAUCAAACAGGAUUAGAUACCCCAGUAGUC